rnacentral:lncRNA from 1 species
CGCAGUUUGAUUACUUCGAUUUAGAUUGCGUUAUACAGAGCCAUUCUAAGACCGCUAUACACGAAAACUGCGGCUCGACGACGAGUCAACAUGUUUAUAAGCUCUCUCACUUUGUUGAUAAUCUGACGGCAUUCCCCCGGGAUAUUGACUAAAAAGGUGCCCUCUCCAGUUCCCCUGAUGGAUCUGCGGAGUCGGAUAUCUGGCGCUGCGGAGAACCGAGCUGAUUGCAGUACCAGCACUCUGAAGCACUUAUUUGAGCAGGAAAGAUAAAGGAGCCGAUUACCCUUGAGAGGGAGGACCUGGUGCGGGCCGCACCCACGUGGAGACUGGAAGGGCGAGCCCCUCCUGGACAGCCCGUAUUAGGAUCUCCUGGUCUGAGCUGAUGAUUGCCAUCCUCCAGGCAUAAUCUGUGCCGAGAGGCUCGCCAUCGUGCAGUGCUAUGCAUUGCCAGAGCACGUGAGUAUCGUGAGUGAAGCGUCUACUGUCGGAUCAACACACUCCAGGGUCUCUUUCUUCUCGACAUGGCUGAGAAGGGCAGCACAGGAGCAGAUAGCCAGACCGUUAAGAGACCAAAAGGGAAGGAUGCAUCGUGUGUGCCGGGUCUGAUCGCAUAGGUGAAACCUAGCUCCCAACAAACGUGGCCAGCAGAUCACUGACGAGGAAGAG